CAAGUCGAGGGGCAGCGCAGUGUAGCAAUACAUGGGCGGCGACCGGCAAACGGGUGCGGAACACGUACGCAAUCUACCCAAAACUGAUGAGUAGCCCUCCGAAAGGAGGAUUAAUACAUCGUAACCUAUUAGAGUAGCAUUACUUUAUUAGUAUAGCUCCGGCGGUUUUGGAUGAGCGUGCGCCUGAUUAGGUAGUUGGCGGGGUAACGGCCCACCAAGCCUACGAUCAGUAACUGGUGUGAGAGCACGACCAGUCACACGGGCACUGAGACACGGGCCCGACUCCUACGGGAGGCAGCAGUAAGGAAUAUUGGUCAAUGGAUGCAAGUCUGAACCAGCCAUGCCGCGUGAAGGAUGAAGGUCCUCUGGAUUGUAAACUUCUUUUACAAGGGAAGAAACCGGAAUUUUCUUGUUCCGUUGACGGUACCUUGGGAAUAAGCACCGGCUAACUCCGUGCCAGCAGCCGCGGUAAUACGGAGGGUGCAAGCGUUAUCCGGAUUCACUGGGUUUAAAGGGUGCGUAGGUGGGUCUGUAAGUCAGUGGUGAAAUCUCCAAGCUUAACUUGGAAACUGCCGUUGAUACUAUAGACCUUGAAUGCUGUGGAGGUGAGCGGAAUAUGUCAUGUAGCGGUGAAAUGCUUAGAUAUGACAUAGAACACCAAUUGCGAAGGCAGCUCACUACCCAGAUAUUGACACUGAGGCACGAAAGCGUGGGGAUCAAACAGGAUUAGAUACCCUGGCAGUCCACGCCCUAAACUAUGGAUACUCGACAUACGCGAUACACUGUGUGUGUCUGAGCGAAAGCAUUAAGCAUCCCACCUGGGAAGUACGACCGCAAGGUUGAAACUCAAAGGAAUU
rnacentral:rRNA from 1 species